CCUACGGGUGGCAGCAGUGAGGAAUAUUGGUCAAUGGACGCGAGUCUGAACCAGCCAUGCCGCGUGCAGGAAGACUGCUCUAUGAGUUGUAAACUUCUUUUGUACGGGAAUAAACUCAGAUACGCGUAUCUGUCUGAAAGUAUCGUACGAAUAAGGAUCGGCUAACUCCGUGCCAGCAGCCGCGGUAAUACGGAGGAUUCGAGCGUUAUCCGGAUUUAUUGGGUUUAAAGGGUGCGUAGGCGGGUGGAUAAGUUAGAGGUGAAAUCCUGAGGCUCAACUUCGGAAUUGCAUUUGAUACUGGCAGGCUAGAGAGCAGUUGAGGUAGGCGGAAUGUAUGGUGUAGCGGUGAAAUGCUUAGAGAUCAGAAAGAACACCGAUUGCGAAGGCAGCUUACUAAGCUACUUCUGACGUUGAGGCACGAAAGCGUGGGGAGCAAACAGGAUUAGAUACCCUUGUAGUC
rnacentral:rRNA from 1 species